rnacentral:rRNA from 1 species
UACGUAGGAUGCAAGCGUUUGUCCGGAUUUACUGGGCGUAAAGCGCGCGCAGGCGGCAUGGUAAGUAAGGUGUGAAAUCCAUCUGCUCAACGGGUGGGGUGCAUUUUAGACUGCCAAGCUUGAGGUCGGUAGAGGGGGGUAGAAUUGCUGGUGUAGCGGUGAAAUGCGUAGAGAUCAGCAGGAAUACCCGUGGCGAAGGCGGCCCCCUGGGCCGUACCUGACGCUGAGGCGCGAAGGCUAGGGGAGCGAACGGG